CUACGGGUCGCUCCAGUGGGGAAUAUUGCACAAUGGGCGCAAGCCUGAUGCAGCCAUGCCGCGUGUAUGAAGAAGGCCUUCGGGCUGUAAAGUACUUUCAGCGGGGAGGAAGGGAGUAAAGUUAAUACCUUUGCUCAUUGACGUUACCCGCAGAAGAAGCACCGGCUAACUCCGUGCCAGCAGCCGCGGUAAUACGGAGGGUGCAAGCGUUAAUCGGAAUUACUGGGCGUAAAGCGCACGCCGGCGGUUUGUUAAGUCAGAUGUGAAAUCCCCGGGCUCAACCUGGGAACUGCAUCUGAUACUGGCAAGCUUGAGUCUCGUAGAGGGGGGUAGAAUUCCAGGUGUAGCGGUGAAAUGCGUAGAGAUCUGGAGGAAUACCGGUGGCGAAGGCGGCCCCCUGGACGAAGACUGACGCUCAGGUGCGAAAGCGUGGGGAGCAAACAGGAUUAGAUACCCCUGUAGUC
rnacentral:rRNA from 1 species